UACGUAGGAGACGAGCGUUGUCCGGAGUUACUGGGCGUAAAGGGUGCGCAGGUGGCGGCGCGCGUGGGGGGUGAAAUCGCCCGGCUUAACUGGGCGGGGGCCUUCCAGACGGCGUGGCUUGAGCAGCGGAGGGGGACGUGGAAUUCCGGGUGGGAGCGGUGAAAUGCGUAGAGAUCCGGAGGAACACCUGUGGCGAAGGCGGCCGGGCUGGGGUACCCUGACGCUCAUGCACGAAAGGCGUGGGGAGCAAACAGG
rnacentral:rRNA from 1 species